ACUCCUGCGGGAGGCAGCAGUGGGGAAUUUUGGACAAUGGGCGAAAGCCUGAUCCAGCAAUGCCGCGUGUGUGAAGAAGGCCUUCGGGUUGUAAAGCACUUUUGUCCGGAAAGAAAUCCUUGGCUCUAAUACAGUCGAGGGAUGACGGUACCGGAAGAAUAAGCACCGGCUAACUACGUGCCAGCAGCCGCGGUAAUACGUAGGGUGCGAGCGUUAAUCGGAAUUACUGGGCGUAAAGCGUGCGCAGGCGGUUUGCUAAGACCGAUGUGAAAUCCCCGGGCUCAACCUGGGAACUGCAUUGGUGACUGGCAGGCUAGAGUAUGGCAGAGGGGGGUAGAAUUCCACGUGUAGCAGUGAAAUGCGUAGAGAUGUGGAGGAAUACCGAUGGCGAAGGCAGCCCCCUGGGCCAAUACUGACGCUCAUGCACGAAAGCGUGGGGAGCAAACAGGAUUAGAAACCCGUGUAGUCC
rnacentral:rRNA from 1 species